GAUGAACGCUGGCGGCGUGCCUAAUACAUGCAAGUCGAACGCUGAAGGAGGAGCUUGCUCUUCUGGAUGAGUUGCGAACGGGUGAGUAACGCGUAGGUAACCUGCCUGGUAGCGGGGGAUAACUAUUGGAAACGAUAGCUAAUACCGCAUGACAACAGUUAUUGCAUGAUAACUGUUUAAAAGGGGCAACUGCUCCACUACCAGAUGGACCUGCGUUGUAUUAGCUAGUUGGUGAGGUAACGGCUCACCAAGGCGACGAUACAUAGCCGACCUGAGAGGGUGGUCGGCCACACUGGGACUGAGACACGGCCCAGACUCCUACGGGAGGCAGCAGUAGGGAAUCUUCGGCAAUGGACGGAAGUCUGACCGAGCAACGCCGCGUGAGUGAAGAAGGUUUUCGGAUCGUAAAGCUCUGUUGUAAGAGAAGAACGAGUGGGAGAGUGGAAAGUUCACACUGUGACGGUAUCUUACCAGAAAGGGACGGCUAACUACGUG
rnacentral:rRNA from 1 species